AAACGAGUGAUGAGGGCAUGAUCUUAUCAUUACUUCAAAUCUUUCCCAAGCUUCAAAUAACUGCUCAUGAUCGUACUGCACCUGGAAUAUCUUUUAUCAAUUU